GCAAGUCGAACGAUGAAGCCCUUCGGGGUGGAUUAGUGGCGAACGGGUGAGUAACACGUGGGCAAUCUGCCCUUCACUCUGGGACAAGCCCUGGAAACGGGGUCUAAUACCGGAUAACACUCCUGCCUGCAUGGGCGGGGGUUAAAAGCUCCGGCGGUGAAGGAUGAGCCCGCGGCCUAUCAGCUUGUUGGUGGGGUAAUGGCCCACCAAGGCGACGACGGGUAGCCGGCCUGAGAGGGCGACCGGCCACACUGGGACUGAGACACGGCCCAGACUCCUACGGGAGGCAGCAGUGGGGAAUAUUGCACAAUGGGCGAAAGCCUGAUGCAGCGACGCCGCGUGAGGGAUGACGGCCUUCGGGUUGUAAACCUCUUUCAGCAGGGAAGAAGCGAAAGUGACGGUACCUGCAGAAGAAGCGCCGGCUAACUACGUGCCAGCAGCCGCGGUAAUACGUAGGGCGCAAGCGUUGUCCGGAAUUAUUGGGCGUAAAGAGCUCGUAGGCGGCUUGUCACGUCGGAUGUGAAAGCCCGAGGCUUAACCUCGGGUCUGCAUUCGAUACGGGCUAGCUAGAGUGUGGUAGGGGAGAUCGGAAUUCCUGGUGUAGCGGUGAAAUGCGCAGAUAUCAGGAGGAACACCGGUGGCGAAGGCGGAUCUCUGGGCCAUUACUGACGCUGAGGAGCGAAAGCGUGGGGAGCGAACAGGAUUAGAUACCCUGGUAGUCCACGCCGUAAACGUUGGGAACUAGGUGUUGGCGACAUUCCACGUCGUCGGUGCCGCAGCUAA
rnacentral:rRNA from 1 species